rnacentral:rRNA from 1 species
AGAGUUUGAUCAUGGCUCAGAUUGAACGCUGGCGGCGUGCCUAACACAUGCAAGUCGAGCGGUAACAGGUGUAGCAAUACAUGCUGACGAGCGGCGGACGGGUGAGCAAUAUUUGGGAAUCUGCCUAUUAGUGGGGGACAACCCGGGGGAAACUCGGGCUAAUACCGCAUACGCACUACGGUGGAAAGCCGGGGACCGCAAGGCCUGGCGCUAAUAGAUGAGCCCAAAUCGGAUUAGCUAGUUGGUGAGGUAACGGCUCACCAAGGCGACGAUCCGUAGCUGGUCUGAGAGGACGACCAGCCACACCGGAACUGAGACACGGUCCGGACUCCUACGGGAGGCAGCAGUGGGGAAUAUUGGACAAUGGGCGAAAGCCUGAUCCAGCGACGCCGCGUGGGUGAAGAAGGCCUGCGGGUUGUAAAGCCCUUUCGGUGGGGAUAAAAAGCCUUGGUUUAACACACCAGGGUCUUGAUCUAACCCAAGAAAGAAGCACCGGCUAACUCUGUGCCAGCAGCCGCGGUAAUACAGAGGGUGCGAGCGUUAAUCGGAAUUACUGGGCGUAAAGCGCACGUAGGUGGCUUGGCAAGUCGAGUGUGAAAUCCCCGGGCUUAACCUGGGAACUGCAUUCGAGACUGCUUUGCUAGAGUAUGGGAGAGGGAAGUGGAAUUUCCGGUGUAGCGGUGAAAUGCGUAGAUAUCGGAAGGAACAUCAGUGGCGAAGGCGACUUCCUGGACCAAUACUGACACUCAAGUGCGAAAGCGUGGGGAGCAAACAGGAUUAGAUACCCUAGUAGUCC